UUACUAUGAUGAGAUUCCACUGUAUGGUCCGUGUUUCUGAAACACAUGAUUUGGUGGAACUUCUGAUUGU
ensembl:snoRNA SNORD18 Small nucleolar RNA SNORD18